GGUAUGGAAAGAGUAUAUUUCGUCAUUUACUCCUUGGAGUACGAAAGCAGACUGACGUAGAAACUCGCAUUGUCCUUCCAAUGGUCCUUCUCGUUGGCAUUAAACGAUCAACGCACGCUGAAAGGAGAAUAUUUCAAGUUUAACGCGUCAUAAGAGUGGGAAGUUCAUUAUACAGAUGGCGUACUGACUGCGCUUGCGCGUAGGUCCAGUCUUCUCGCUAUUGGUGAUUCCGCCAUUUGGAAUUAUGCCGUCGUAUCAGUCGCAACAGAUCUUCGUCGUCUCGUUAAUUACAGCGGUGUACUUGAACUACGGAGUCCACUACGCGUUCCAUGCUGGUGUUCUCAUCGCCAUCUUGGACACAGUGUUUCGUCGCUCGGCAUAAUUACAGCGCGGCAACGGGAAAAGAUCUACAGUUGCAGUUAAUUUAAGCUCGAGACCGAACAAUAUUACGGCAUGACGAAGUUUCAUGAAGUCAGGAACGGAAAAAAGGAUCAACGCGGCAAGGCCCAAAAGGACAAAUAUGCCAUCACAACGUGGAGAAUGAAUCCUUGAGUUUUUUCAAGGAUCUAAAAUAAGAGAAUUAAAUUAUACAUUGCAUGGAACAUAUCCAGAGGAACAAUGUAACUUGGAAAUUGCAACAGAUAGAAUUGAGUACAACUCGACUUCCCUGAGAGAAACGCAACUUUUUAGAUUUUAUCGUGAUCAAUUC